GUGUUCAGUUGGUUAGAACAUGGGGCUAAUAAUGCCAAGGCUGCAGGUUUGAUCCCCAUGUGGGACA